rnacentral:piRNA from 1 species
UGUUUGGGGAUGACGAGUUGAAACCGGUGA